rnacentral:rRNA from 1 species
UACGUAGGGCGCAAGCGUUAUCCGGAAUUAUUGGGCGUAAAGAGCUCGUAGGCGGCUUGUCGCGUCGACUGUGAAAUCCCGCGGCUCAACUGCGGGUCUGCAGUCGAUACGGGCAGACUAGAGGUAUGCAGGGGAGAACGGAAUUCCUGGUGUAGCGGUGAAAUGCGCAGAUAUCAGGAGGAACACCGGUGGCGAAGGCGGUUCUCGUGGGCAUUACCUGACGCUGAGGAGCGAAAGUGUGGGGAGCGAACAGG